GAUGAACGCUGGCGGCGUGCCUAAUACAUGCAAGUCGAGCGAAGCGGGGACGGGGGAGUAACACGUCGGUAAACUCCUAUAAGACUGGGAUAACCUCGGGAAACCGGAGCUAAACCGGAGACUUAAAGACGGAUCCAAGAUGCAUAAGCUAGUUGGUAAGGUAACGGCUUACAAAGGCAACGAUUCAUAGCCGACCUGAGAGGGUAAGCAGCCACACAGGAACUGAGACACGGUCCAGACGCCUACUGGAGGCAGCAGUAGGGAAUCGUCCGCAAUGGGCGAAAGCCUGACUGAUCAACGCCGCGUGAAGGAUGAAGGUCUUCGGAUCUUAAAACUCUGUUAUUAUGAAAGCGGUACCUAAUCAGAAAGCCACGGCUAACUACGUGCCAGCAGCCGCGGUAAUAC
rnacentral:rRNA from 1 species